CAAAUUAUAUGCAUGCUUUACAUUCCAUCACCAGAGAGAGGCUAACAGGGCAUGAAUGUAAACAAAUAAUGUCUGACCUGAUAAGCCCUAGCGUGUUAAACCUCAUUUUUGUUGUUGUGUUCCACUAUGUGAUUCCAAUUCUAGAUAUGAUUAUACGGUUAUUUUUUUAUAAAAAUACCUGAGGAUGUGAGUUUAAUAAGUGCAGGGAUUGUGAAAAUAAAAAGGAAUGAAUGAGAACAUUUCAAGAUCAAUACAUGACAACAGUUGCUCGUUUUGAAGCAUUUCACACAAUAAGAUUAAAGAUAAUGGACACCAAUUCGAAAAAAUCUGAAGAUAAUAGAUGUACUUUCUUGGUUUGACUAGAGAAGUUAUGAACACAACAGUAUGAUGUCCACUAGAGAAGAUUUUGCCAGAUGAGAGGAAUUCGUUUGAUAACAGUCAUGAACACAAAUUGACAACUGGUAUUUGAAUCGCCUUAAGUUGUAAUAUCUCUUCAUGGCAAAUGCAUAACAGAUGAAAAAGAAACUAAAAAGAGUUCAAAGAAGAAUUACAGAAAACUUAGGAAGAAAACAAACAGUGAUAUUGAACAUUUGAUACAAAUGUCAAUGUGAUAUUGAACGUUUGAUACAAAUAAAUUUUCAAAUGAUGACAGUUGUAUAUCUUGUUAUACCGGAUUUCCAACAUAUAUAUAUUCAUUACAGUUUCAAUGUUAUAAAACAUCAGCAAAAACAUUAAAAGUGUUUAUUAUGAAGCAAGCAAAACAAUCAGCUUGACUGGUAGAAAGAGAGGGAUGUUGCAAGCUGACGAAAUGUUUUUUAGCAUAUUUUAAAGGACCAUUUGUUUAGUCUUUUGUGUCUUACAUUAAAAUAAAUAAUUAAAAAGAAAUCAUCGCAUUACUUUGUUUUUAACAUUGUGCUUUGUUGCAUAUAUGGUCCAGCUGCAGGGAAUAUGUCAACAUGUUAAUUACAUAUUUUGUCCUCUUAUUGCAUUAUAUACUGUUGAGUGAAUUUGUCUUGGAAUGUUAAAAGAAGUGCUGAAACUCGAUGCUGCCUUACCUAAUACGACUGCAAGGUCCUGCAUAAGUUUUCCGCAAAUGUUUAAUCCCCUAAGUACAUGGAAUGUAUUGGGUUGGUUAGUCCAGCCAUAAUCUUCUAGAAGUGCCGUGUAUCCUAAUAAUUUGUUAUAUACCAGCUAGUACAGGCUUCCAACAAUAUGACCACAUAAUCAAGUCGGACCAACUGGACAAGUGCAAUAAGCUAAUGAUACCUCAGCUUCGUCUUAAGAUUUGACUGAUAUUUGCAAUUAAAUGACUGUAAUUCGUUAUAUACUAAGUAUUUCAUACUGUAAUUAAUUUAAAUAGUUGAUAACAUAUAAGUUUUACGUUCUUUACUUAGCUUGAAAUGUAUUUUUACAUUGCUGUAAACAACAUCAUGUGUUAAGAUACUGACAAUCCAUUGAAAUGUAUAAGACGGGAAUGUGGUGUCAUAUCUAAACAAAAUAUUAUUUUGAUUUGAUAAGGCUGUCUGUAAAAUUAACCAGUUAAGUACUAGACAGUCAUCCAGAUUUUUUUACUUUUAAAUACAAAGUGAAUAAAACUUGUUUUUUUUAUUUCAAUAGCUAAAUUUAGGAGAAGUAUGGUACAGAAUUCAGCAUCCAGCUGUUUACAUCUAUUAUCAGUUAAUUGCUUUAUACAUUCUUGACCAACAUGUUUUUAGGUUAGCAAUAAAAUACUGAUAACACAGAUAAUGUUUGUAUAAGUUGCAAAGAGUUAACAUGAUAUUUAUUCUGACACGGAAUAUUAGAAAUUGCUUGGAAUUAUCAUAAACAUUAAUUCACUUUUCAGGUCUUGAAUACAUGUAUAUCCUUCACUGUAUAUAGCAUAAAUUAAACCCUGUUGUUGAUUUAUUUAUCUCCAGAAGAGAUUUUUGUAAUGUUAAAUAAAGUUCUCAACAAGUAUGUAGUAAAUGGUACAAUAUGAAGAUCUCUGCCACUGUAGGAAAAUCUUUCGGCCAUAUAUUCGUCAUACGUUUACAUAGAGCAGAUAUUAAAGCUUGCCCUGUUAGCCUCGUU